GAAUACAUCCACGAUACGAGUAUUUGGGCGAAAAAGGAUCCAUCUGAACAGGAAAAGGAUCCAGUAGUCAUUCCAUCAGUUGUUUCAUCGCUUUUUAUGAUGUUCCGAUGGGAAUUUCUGUUGGCUUCAACGUUGAAAUUCGUCUCCGACACUAUGCAAUUUGCCAGUCCAUUUUUACUACAGUAAGCAGCGGCGGGAAAAUCGAAAAAUUGACGAUUUUUGGGGCUGAAAAUUUACUGAAAAAUUGACGGUUUUUCAGCCAAAAAAUUGGAUUUUUCAGCCAAAAAAAAUUGGAUUUUUCACCCCAAAAAAUUGGAUUUUUCACCCCAAAAAAUUGGAUUUUUCACCCCAAAAGAUUGGAUUUUUCACCCCAAAACCCACCCAAUAAAAGAAAAAACUCCAAUUUUCCAAAUUUCAGCGAGCUUCUCAACUUCAUCUCGGCGAAAAAUGCUCCAUUUUGGAAGGGAAUGGCUCUGAGUAUUCUAAUGUUCUCUGUGUCGGAGCUCCGUUCACUUAUUCUCAAUGGAUAUUUCUAUAUUAUGUUCAGAAUGGGAACUAAAAUUCAGACGUCGUUGACAGCUGCUGUAUACAAAAAG
rnacentral:sRNA from 1 species